ensembl:lncRNA
CAAGUGGUCCUAGAGCAGCAGUGUGCCAAGAGUGCUGGAGGCUUGGGAACAGCGUGGUUUCGAUCAGCGUGGGAAAAAAAAGAGGUCACCGGCUGGCCUCUUGAGAGGGAAGUCAAGGGAGGGCUUGGAGUUGGUAAACGGUGCUUCGUGAGUCUCGGAGGAGUCUGACACCUUCUAACCCCUUGCCAGCUGCGGCCAAUGAGAUUGGGAAGACUCCACGUGUGCAAGUGAAAUAAGAGGAUCUUUUGUGUGAAAAAGGUUUAUUUUUGAGAGGGGCGAUGGGACGCGGGGAGCGAAGAGGAUGAUGGAAUGAUGGAGGGAGGUUCAUUCCAAAUAUACUGACUCAAAAAGGUAUAUUGAUUCUUUCAUACAGUAAGUAAGAACAGUUUUGAAAGCCCUUUUAGUAUUAAUCAUGUAUUUAUUUGCCAGCAGUCUGGAAGGAAAGACACCAGAUUGUUAAGUGUUUAUCACUGGUGAAUGAAUGGCCUGGAGGACUUUCACUUUAGGCAGAUUCUUUACAGCUGAGCCUAGUUGGAGAAUGCUCACCACCAACUCUGCUGCAAUUGCAUUCUGGCCAGCAAAAUCAGGAAAAAGGAGUAACAGAAGGUUUAAGAACAAAAAUC